rnacentral:rRNA from 1 species
UUGAACGCUGGCGGCAGGCCUAACACAUGCAAGUCGAGCGGAUGAACGGGACGCUUGCUCCUGCGAUUCAGCGGCGGACGGGUGAGUAAUGCCUAGGAAUCUGCCUGGUAGUGGGGGAUAACGUCCGGAAACGGGCGCUAAUACCGCAUACGUCCUGAGGGAGAAAGUGGGGGAUCUUCGGACCUCACGCUAUCAGAUGAGCCUAGGUCGGAUUAGCUAGUUGGUGGGGUAAAGGCCUACCAAGGCGACGAUCCGUAACUGGUCUGAGAGGAUGAUCAGUCACACUGGAACUGAGACACGGUCCAGACUCNUACNGGAGGNAGCAGUGGGGAAUAUUGGACAAUGGGCCGAAAGCCUGAUCCAAGCCAUGCCGCGUUUGUGAAAGAAGGUCUUCCNGAUUUGUUAAANCACUUUAAGUUUGGGGAAGGAAGGGGCAAGUAUGUUUAAUACCUUUGCUUUUUUGACCUUUACCACCAGAAAUAAGCAACUUGUUAA